AGAACGCACAAUAAUUAUCCCUGGGACCAUGGGAUAAACAAAAACCUAGCAAAACCAAGUUAGCACACCCUAGAAUGCUUUUGGCACGAUUACUAACCUAUGUCUCUAAUACCAGUUGAAGGGAAAAAUCC
rnacentral:pre_miRNA from 1 species